UGUUUUAACUUCAAAUUGUACUUCAAUUAAAAGUUAUUUCUCACGGACACACGAAUUUCAAAGAUUUAAUUUUUUAAUGCACUAAAUUUGACUUCACAUGUGAGUAUAUAAAUAAUGUUUUUGUUUCAUUUAGGAUUUAAAUUAAUUUCAAUCAAAUAACCUACGAUUUGGUGAGAGGCCUACCUACAAUCACGUCGCGUAUUUUUAUAUGAAUAGACAUUGCAUAAUAUAACCAGAUGAAUAAGUUAUUGUGGUUUUAAAUGUAGCUAACCUAACUUAACCAACCAUCCACGCGAUUUUAAAGUAUUUGAGAACCACAACAGAGCUUCCGUUUUCAAAAAUCGAAGUUUAGAAGAACAAGACACACUCAAAUUUCUAGCUGAAUCGUGAUUCCGCCAGCAAAGGAGAUGGCGGAAUAAUUCAGACCGCAUGUGACGUCAAUCUGAUACAUAAUUCCGAUAGUUAGUGUUCAAUAAUAGGGUUUAGCACAUCUAUCGGAUUUGUCAUUCCUCUAGCAGAAAUAUUUCGAAAGCUUCAAGAAUAGAGCCCCUGCAAACGUUUGCGUUCAAAACGACUGCAGUCUGGUUGGGUGAGAAAGAACGGGUCGUGGGUGGGAGAAGGUCGGGGUGUGCUCGUAUGGCCCUGCCCCACAUGACCGGACGUGGUCACGUGUCACGGCCACCCUCCCGCACAUGUGCGUGCCGGUUGGAACCAAUGUUACCCCCCUCCUUGUCUCCCGCACCAAUGGAUGUACACUUUAUUUAUAGACCCUACCAAAGAUUUAGUAUUGACAACCAAAUAAUUUUGCAUUGUCCACGAAAGUGCUUAUAAGUAAAGCCACGAUUAUUUAACACAUUCAUUUAACUCCAGGCUAGACUCGACUUCCAUAUGAAUAAUAAAACUUUUAAAGUGCUCUUUGAUCUAUAACGCUGGUAAUGUGUUUCGGUAGUGACUUCUCCUUGUUUACAACCGGCUCCAGGCCUUCAAGAGCGUGUCAAGAGCGCUGUAGUCUAAUCAUGAACCUGAAGUAAAUGUAAUACUUGCUUAAAUUAUAUUUUGCUACCCAAUGAGUCUGCCAAAUUAUCGUGGUUAUACUUAUUAGUUACAGCUAUUAUUUUUGUAAUUUAUAAAUGGUUUUAAUGAUGAUAGUUCUCUAUUUUUACACAUUUUUUUGGUGGCUUCAAUACUUCAUUUGUAGUACAAGUGUGUUAGCACAUCAAGUGUAAACAUACGCGUAUGUCAUCGUUAAGAUCAACUGAUUUUGACAGCUCUAUUGUCAGCACGUAGUUAAAUGGUGGGACAGGAAUCAGUCGGUAGCCACCGGCUUGCGAGAUGCUAGGACCAGGGGGUGGCAACUCUAGUAGGCCAUUAUGUACCCAGAUACUAUUUUUAAUCUGCACAACAGAUAGCGCUAGUAGAUUGACCUAGUUCUUUUGUAAAUUCAUAGGUAGCGUUAGUGUUCAUAAUCAAAUGUCAAUUGAAUGUUUAUAAGAAACUAAAUUUAUGCAAUAAAUACUAAUAAUGCAAUAAAUAUAGUGUAAUAUUAAUUUAUUUCGAUUUCAAAAACAUUUGAUUUGUAAAAAUUGUUUUUUUUGCAGUAAUAUUCGUUUACAGAUUGAUUUGAGCAUUAUAGUCGCUCUUUUUUUUUCGGUUUGUAGUAGAUUUUGGUCGAGUGAAAGAUGGAUUUUACAAUGGAGUUUGAUUUAUCAUUUUGAAUUAUUUUCCUAUAUGAUUGUGAAUUAAGAAGCCGAUGAAGAUGCCUGUGAAUACACAUCAAUGUUUUGUGUCUUCGUGCAGGAACAGUAUUACUGUUAAUCCUAAUGUGACAACAUUCAGAUUUCCAUGAAGCCGAAGCAAGUUAUUGAAGUGGAUUGCUGCAAUUGGCUAUGACCUUGAUGCCAGUAAUGCUGAAACAUUUAAAACUAAAUAUGUGUGUUCCGAACAUUUUGAUAUUGGAGCUUUCACUACAUGUGACUGCAUCAAAUUGAAUCGUGGUGCUGCUACAACAUAUUUUAAUUCUGUGGACAGUGAAGUAUGGAUCUAUUGUUAUAAUUUAUUAUGUCUAGAAUGCUGCCAAAUAUAGGUGAAAUGUUUAUGUUACAUAACAUAACUUGUAAGAUCUACUUGUGCAGAUAUAUAUUUUCACCUGCCUCUAAGGUCCUUUGUUAUUCACAGGUAGCAUUUACAUGUGAUGAAGCAGUAUUUAACAUUAUUGGUCAACAUGCAGUCCAUCAUUACAACCUUUGUACAGGCGCAUACAAACAUAUAUGUGUGGGGUAUUUCACACUUUUUAUUUGAUGUUAAAGAUUGGUAUGGUGACCGGGAUACUUUUUUUUAUUAAACCUCCUACACAGUUCUCUACUGUUUCCCUUAUCUGUUGCCUUAACAUUUUUUUCCGAUCAGUCCAAUUCCUUGAAUCACAUUGCAAAAAAAGUCACAAUACAUGGGAUUGGGCCACUCUCUUCAAAGAAUUGUAAAUCGAGUUUAAACAUAGCAAGGCUGACCAUAAAUUGUAGAGGAAAAUUUAAAAUGUUGAUCUUCAACAUAUUUAUAACCUAUGAUCAUGUGAUGUAUAUACAGCUAGUUAGAAAGUAAGUUGUAGUAUAGUAUGCAAUUGAACCUUCAAUAAGUUCUACAUCCACACUUAAAAACUUAUUUUACUUGAUGUUUUAUGUUCAAUAACUAUUCAGUAUAAAGGUUUUUUUUUUACAUUAUAAACUACAAAAGUAUUCCGAUUUGUAAAUGUAAUGAAAUUCCACUGAGCCCUCUACCUUUUUUUUAACUACCAUUUCUGCCGUGUGGCCUUUUUUUUCUUACUUUUGUGUUCAUUAUAAGUUACAACCACUCAUUUGAUUUAUUGUGUUAAAUUAAAUGAUAUUUAAAAUUGGAUGUCACUUCAUAAGAACAUUCAGGAUUACCUGUAUUCACAGCGCACAAUUAUACAAAAGUUUUUUAUGUAUGUAAAAGUGUUUUACGUAAGACAGUGGACACAUACAUGUAUUCAGUAACAUGAGAAAAUUGAAAUAUCUAAAAUAAAAUUAAAAGGUUACAAGCUUUUAUAUACAUGCAGCUCCCAAAAAAGUCUGCAUACUAAAAAAUAACACAUGCUUUUAAAUGAAUUCUUACCAUCUUAUAAACUAGUAGUAUUUUGUUAUUUGGUUUCAAAUGAAUUGUUUUUGGUUAAUUUAUUUGACUGUAGGGAUUAAAUAUCAUUUGUAGAAUAAAGUGUGAAGAGUAGUAUUGAUCAAUUUAACUGUAAGUACAAAAUAUGUGUUACAUUUCUUGUAAGUUAAAAUUGUUCAGGUAUUAUAAAUUAGCUGAAAAAAGCAAACUCAUGACUAGAAUAAAUUGUACUGUUAGGUAUGUUUCGAAGAAAGACUACCUGUUGCAGUCGUUACCAUGUGUAUGUACCACAUUUUUAUUGUCAUUAUAACUGCCAUAAUUUUGUACAAAUAAAUCACUUAAUACAUAAAA